UCAAGGUCAUUUCUGUUGUAUUGCGUCACCAAAGUGCGCGGCGUACUCGGACCCAGGGUUGUAACUUCCCCUAUCUGAUUAUUUCAUCCAUAACCUGUUAUUCCUUCAUGAUUCCUUCUAAUGAUUUACUAAACCAGAUGACGCUUCACAAACCAUUUGUCCAAGUGUAACCCGUCCUUAGUGGGGGUCAAGGGCCAAUCGCAACUUUCUUUCUCCAGAUUAGUUUCUUGUAUAACAUUAUCCCAUAAAAUCAGGCAAAGGAAGAAGUCGGUAGGGUAAAAAGUGACAUUUGCCAUCAGAUGUACAGGUCUUCUGCUCUUGGGUCACCUAGCCUAUAUGGUAGGACCACCAUUGGUUCAAUUCUCCGGCACCUUGGACCCCCAGCCAGGUCACUAUAUCCAAUGUCUACUAUCUGAAAAGUGCAAGGAUAGAAAACGUUUGGUUUAUGAAACAUGGGCUGGAGGAGACCACAGGAAUGGAUUUAGUCUUUCCAAGUGACCCUUUCUUUGAUCUUUCUGACCAAACUGUAGGAAAAUCUUACAAUGUAUAGUUAGUGCAGAAAGCUCUUAGAAUGUUGCUCUAGAACCUUUCUCUGAAUAGACUGCAUGUCAUCUGCUGGCGCAGGCACUGCCAGAAACCACCCGAAAAUCACGCGUAAAGGCGACCGACUGUCACAAGGUACCCCAGGCUCCGUGUACCCUUUCACAUUUCUCAUCAGGUUUCCAGAAUUACCCAGAAGAUCCUCGCCAAGAGUUCC